UAAACAAAUCUAAGAAAAUAAAUUUUGUCGAGGUUCGAAACUUAUUUGACGAAAUACGGUCCUAGCUAUAAUAUCCCGUAUUGUUGGAAUGGAAAAAUUUAAUCGUCCAAUAUGAGCAAAAUUACUCGAGCCCGGAGAAUUCGAUGAUAUUUAAGGAUGAAAAUCGAGAGCUCGGUGUACAAAGAGUUUGAGGUCCCAAAAUAAUUUAGGACUUAACAAGUGUGACCACGGUGACUGAAAAUAAUAUUUUAUGUGUAUCAAAAGGGACUAUGGACUAGUGCUAUGUCACAUAAUCAUGGCAAUGAUUAUAUGAAGUGUAUUAAAAAAAAUUGUGAUUAAAGUGAAUUGAGAUCAAGAAAUCAAUUAUGUGUGUAACCGAUCAAAUGGGGAGAUGUCAAUCACAUUUUAGAAUUUUUAAUUACAAAUUUUGUAGCAUUCGUGUAUGAUUUAAUAUUACACAAGUAUUGAUUAAUAAAUCCAAGAAUGAGGAAUAUUGGUGAAAGUGGUCAUUGGCUCAAAGUAUAUAAACGGUGGCAUAAAGGAAAAGGGACAAGGUUAAUGUUUUAAUCAUUUAAAAAGGCCAAACUUUGUACACUUGGAAGUAAUUUAGCUGUGCACUCUUCAAGUGGUGCCAGCAAUUAAGUGGUUGCCCAAAGGCACAUAUAUACAUAGAGAUAAACAUGGGCUAUACAUAGAGGAAAAUAGACCAUUUCAGUGAACACAAAGAUGUAUCCAAGCCUCAUUUUGUCCUUCUUAGAAGGAGAACGGCCCUCUGUUUUGGCCAUUUUCUAUGAAAUAACGCAGCAGCUACUCUUAUUAUUUCCAAGCUCGUGGUGACGUGAAAAAUAGGAGGGCUAUCCGUGGGAACAACCUCAAGGAAUGACAACAACCAGAAGAAAUCUUCAAGAGUUAGUUUCAAAGUUUAAUCUUAGUGUUGGAACCCCAAGAAAUUAAUGUUCGUUGGGUCAUCUGGGACUCGUGGCACUCUCGUUAGCCCAUGAAGGAAUUGAGGUACAGACGUUCGUUCAGGUGACCCGCCAGUGUAGGAUACUUAUUCUGCUAUUUGGAGUACUCCUUUUGAUCCGGAGCUCAUAUUUUUGGUACAUAUCUUCUGUUAUACAUGUUCUGUAUAUAUGGCUAUUUGGGUACGGCGGGGCCCUGUUCCGUCAUAUGUUUCUGUUAUGGUUUGUAAAGGCCUGUAGUCAUAUAUGUGGGUCAUGGGUCACGUUUGUUCGAUUAUGUUUGUGAUUUGUGCCUUAAGCGGCCCCAUUUGCUAUUAUGGCCAAAACGGCCCUUAUGUUUGUAAAUGUAUGUGUAUUCGGGCGAUGUAUAUUCCGCCAGCCUACCGGUUUUUGAUAUGAUAUUUCGGUACGGGUGACCGCUUAAGAUGAUAUCUGUUUUCAGUAUCUGUUCAAAAGACGUAUGCUAAAUUUGAAUAAAUUUUUGAUAUGUUGAUUUGGUAAGCGAAUGGGUUUGGGUGUCCAAUUAGGGCACCAGUCGCGGCCCACGGGGCUGGGUCGUGACAAAAGCUCUCGUGGUGGCAGCACAUCUGGAAG